UACGAAGGGGGCUAGCGUUGUUCGGAAUCAUUGGGCGUAAAGAGCGUGUAGGCGGUCCGGUAAGUCCGCUGUGAAAGUCGGGGGCUCAACCCUCGAAUGCCGGUGGAUACUGUCGGGCUAGAGUGCGGAAGAGGCGAGUGGAAUUCCUGGUGUAGCGGUGAAAUGCGCAGAUAUCAGGAGGAACACCGGUGGCGAAGGCGGGUCUCUGGGCAGUAACUGACGCUGGAGGAGCGAAAGCGUGGGGAGCGAACAGG
rnacentral:rRNA from 1 species